UACGUAGGGUGCAAGCGUUAUCCGGAAUUAUUGGGCGUAAAGAGCUCGUAGGCGGUUUGUCGCGUCUGCUGUGAAAACUGGGGGCUCAACCCCCAGCCUGCAGUGGGUACGGGCAGACUAGAGUGCGGUAGGGGAGAUUGGAAUUCCUGGUGUAGCGGUGGAAUGCGCAGAUAUCAGGAAGAACACCCGUGGCGAAGGCGGUUCUCUGGAACGCAACUGACGCUGAGACGCGAAAGCGUGGGGAGCAAACAGG
rnacentral:rRNA from 1 species